rnacentral:rRNA from 1 species
AACGAUCGCUGGCGGCAUGCCUAACACAUGCAAGUCGAACGAUCCUUCGGGAUAGUGGCGGACGGGUGAGUAACACGUGGGAACGUCCCCUUUGGUCCGGAACAACUCAGGGAAACUUGAGCUAAUACCGAAUGUGCCCUUCGGGGGAAAGAUUUAUCGCCAUUGGAGCGGCCCGCGUCUGAUUAGCUAGUUGGUGAGGUAAUGGCUCACCAAGGCGACGAUCAGUAGCUGGUCUGAGAGGAUGAUCAGCCACAUUGGGACUGAGACACGGCCCAAACUCCUACGGGAGGCAGCAGUGGGGAAUCUUGCGCAAUGGGCGAAAGCCUGACGCAGCCAUGCCGCGUGAAUGAUGAAGGUCUUAGGAUUGUAAAAUUCUUUCACCGGGGACGAUAAUGACGGUACCCGGAGAAGAAGCUCCGGCUAACUUCGUGCCAGCCGCCGCCGUAAUAC